rnacentral:rRNA from 1 species
CGCCCUUAGAGUUUGAUCAUGGCUCAGGACGAACGCUGGCGGCGUGCCUAAUACAUGCAAGUCGAACGCAGCUUGCUUUGGUAAGAUGAGUGGCGAACGGGUGAGUAACACGUGGGUAACCUGCCUAUCAGAGGGGGAUAACACUUGGAAACAGGUGCUAAUACCGCAUAGAUUUCUUCCGCAUGAAAAGAGAGGAAAGACGUACGUGUCACUGAUAGAUGGACCCGCGGUGCAUUAGCUAGUUGGUGAGGUAACGGCUCACCAAGGCCAUGAUGCAUAGCCGACCUGAGAGGGUGAUCGGCCACACUGGGACUGAGACACGGCCCAGACUCCUACGGGAGGCAGCAGUAGGGAAUCUUCGGCAAUGGACGAAAGUCUGACCGAGCAACGCCGCGUGAGUGAAGAAGGUUUUCGGAUCGUAAAACUCUGUUGUUAGAGAAGAAUAGGUAGGAGUGACUUCCUGCCAUGACGGUAUCUAACCAGAAAGCCACGGCUAACUACGUGCCAGCAGCCGCGGUAAUACGUAUGUGGCAAGCGUUGUCCGGAUUUAUUGGGCGUAAAGCGAGCGCAGGCGUUUCUUAAGUCUGAUGUGAAAGCCCCCGGCUUAACCGGGGAGGGUCAUUGGAAACUGGGAGAC